GCAUCGAUGAAGAGCGCAGCCAGCUGCGUGAAUUAAUGUGAAUUGCAGGACACACUGAACAUCGACAUCUUGAACGCACAUGGCGGCUCUUGCUCACUGCAAGGGCCACGCCUGUCCGAGGGUCGGCGAACAAGUCAUCGCUCUGCGAACGCGGAGCGCGUUGGCGUGUCGCGCGGGCUUCCGCCCCGCUCGUCCGCCGUAGACUCUAGCCUCUCCCGCGACUCGCUGCUCCAGAUCGAAGGGGCGCCGGGACAGGGCUCGCGAGCCCCCACUGUCCCGCGCCGGUCCUCCUCCUCGCUGGGGAGGACGACCUUCUCGAGCGCGCGAGGGGAGAGCGCGCUGCAGCAGAAGCAGUGCGACAGGAAAUCGCCAGGCCGGCGCGAGAUCAAGCUCGGCGGCGACUUCUCUAUCCGACCUCGGAUCAGACGAGACUACCCGCUGAACUUAAGCAUAUCAGUAAGCGGAGGAAAAGAAACU
rnacentral:sRNA from 1 species